UGACUACCGGUUUCUUCUAACCCCUUCAAGGUGAUACAAGGAUGUCUGACAACCGGUUUUUUCUAACCCCCUUUUAUCGAGACCUCUUCCUAACUCUACUUUUACCCUAACCCUAGAGUGAAGCGUUACGUAACUUCUUAGUACUAUUAAAAAUGUCCGACAAGAAAGAAAUCAUGGUUACUUAUUGAACCAAUGUGUUAUAUGAACUUCUAACGUAAUCCUUGUUUUACGAAUCGUCUGGUUUGAUUAAUCAAAAGACCUCUGUCUGAUGAGAACGUAGUAAUACACGUUGGGUGUCCAUAGAGUGAGCCGCUCUGUACGUGUGGAUACGGUGUAGAAAUGUACAAAGUGUUUUUGUAUUUGUACUAACCUACCCGCAGGAACGGCCGCUGGAGCGAUAGAGGUUGGGUAGGUGUCCAACGAACCACAGGAGAGUAGCACAGAUAACCACGUCAUAGUGUAUAGGAGAGAGCUUCUCUACUCUAUUCCUAAUGUCCCGAUGGUUGUUGGGUGGAGUGGAUAUUACCUUCUGUAGGACUAAGUAACAACGUUCGAUCUCUUGUUAUUGAUAGUACAACCACUAAAGGAACUAUAUACCAAGAUGUGCACACAGUAUACCUGGUUACUUUCGUUUCUAUAACGCCUCUAUUAUUGAUAUACCCGAUGAGGUUUACCUCACCGUCACCUUGGUUGUGGAAAAUAUCCGGAAGUUCAUGGACACACCUUCAGAUGGUACGUUCGUAAUAGGCUGCUGAUUGUGAAACGAAUACACAUGUAUAGGAGACUUCUGGUGUUGGCCUGAUUCUUCUACAGAUUUAUUCGACACUCCGACGGAUAUAUAUUC
rnacentral:rRNA from 1 species